CCAGGCAAAGUUUUCACUGGGAUGAAAGUCGGGGGUGGAGAGAGUCAGUUCGUGAAGACUUUGAGGAAAAGCUUAAUGGCACAUCCUAGGGCCCCACGCUGCCUGGGGCUGGGGAGAAAAGGAGACUUCAGUGGUAAUCUCGCCUGUGUCCUCCACAGGGGACGCCCUUCUCCUGGCCACGGACGGAGCCUUUCCCUAAAUGUACAUUUCUUUGCUCUGUCGUUCUCCCACACCCCCUGCCCCUUAUGUUGAUCCCAAGAGAAGGCCACUUUUAUUCAUUGUUCUUCUCUUUUCCGGGUUGAGCUAACUUUAACAAUUGCCUAGACCUGACGAUGCUCAGAAGGUGAGUAAAUUACCACGCUGCCCAGCCCUUUGUUCGAAUAGUGGAGGAGGGCGGCGAUCCUUGUGAAAAUGCGCACUGAUGGUCCUGCACAGUGGCCGUGUCGACAUCGGACACCUGCGUUUUAGAAAAUCCGGAGCAAACGUCUGCAGGGACUUCCAGCAUGAUGCUGAAAGGGAGUGGAGAGAGGAGACGUCUUUGUUUUGUACCACUGCCUUUCUACUGCAUUAUAGUGGCUUUUAAUCUUCUAAAUUAGAUAAAUGGUAUGUCACCACUGCGUUUUGGUGGGGAGCUGAUCACACAGAUCUGUGGCCUGCAAAGCUCCCUUGAG